rnacentral:tRNA from 1 species
GCCCGGGUGGCGGAAUUGGUAGACGCGCUGGUCUCAAACACCAGUGGCAGCAAUGCCGUGCCGGUUCGAUCCCGGCCUCGGGUA